UGGCGGGUAGUUCAAUUGGCAGAACGCCUGACUUUGGUUCAGGAAGUUGCAGGUUCGAUUCCUGCCCCGCCAGCCA
rnacentral:tRNA from 1 species